CCCACUGUUUACCUCCUGCUGAUUUUCUGCCGCAGUUCCUGACUGCAAUUAUAUAUGUACACCUCCCUACUCUGACAUCUUUUUUAGGCUAAAUGCUGGUGGUGGCAGGGAAGUGGUGCUGUUGACCAGAACUCGAGCAGCUCAGUCCCACCCCAGGAAAUGACAUCAUUACUUUAUAAAUGAGAUUCAUGUUCUAAACUUGUAUUUCUGCAGAAACAGGCACAAUAAAGGCUGCUGAACUGAAAGCAAACUUUUAUAUAUUUCAUGACAAAAAUGUUUAUUAUUAUAUACAUUUAUGCAGUUCUCUUGUCUUUAGUCACAGAAGCUGUUCUGGGAGUGACACUGGAGCAAAAAGAUCACUUGAAGACAAAAGGUGUGACCAAAACUGUGUAUAUCAGCUGCAAAGUGACCGGAUUAAGAACUAGAUAUGUCCACUGGUACCAAGAGAAAGACGGUGAAGCUCUCACAAGGAUCCUAUACGUAGAAAGUGGAAGAUCACCAGUUGAGGAUCCUAACCAUCCUGAAGCAAAGGACUUCAGUGUGAAGGAAGAAAAGUCUGAUAAUUAUGACUUGAAGAUAGCAGCCCUGAAGAAAAGUCACUCAGCAGUGUAUUACUGUGCCAGCUGGGAGAGCGGUGAUGCACAGUGAAUGAAUUAAUUACAGUGUAAACAAAAAACCUUACGUUUCGUUACAACCACAACAGAAAAAGUGUGUGUGGAGUAGUAAAGUUUGUUAAGCUAACUCUUACAUUAGAUGUUAACCAGCUAGGCAAAAACAAACCUUUACCAUUUCAAUAAUAUCAGCAAACCAAAGCAUUUUUGGUCUUUAUUUCUAUUUGUUACAUAAAUAGCAGUUUCUAUUUUAUUAUGUCUAGACGCCCAUGUGAUGGUCUGAUACAUAAACAUUUUAAACGACCUCUUCUCCUGCUUGUCAUCACCACCUCCUGCAAACUCCCGGUAAUCCAACAAUCAAUUAAUUCAUGGACACAUGCAGUAUGUGACAACUAAUGGCUGCAAAUGUGCUUUGUUGCACUUCUUGCAUUAUGCAAUGACCUGAAACACUCAGCUAAACAAUUGUGAUAAGUGAUACACAAAUGGUUAUGAGGCAGAGAUAAAUUCCAACUCCAACAUCUACUUACAUGCCAACAGUGUCCAGUAACUAUACUUACUGACUAACUAACACCACUUCAGCUCUUUCUAUCUUCUAGAGCAUGUUUACUACCAGAAUUUUCCAAAUAUGCCAAAGACCACAAAGAUGACCUUCUGACGUAUAUGAAGAAUAUCAGAUUUUCUAACUGCCAAUUCAUUGCACAAGAACUUUUCAAAAGCUUUGCUUGGCAAAUAUAGCCAAGCUGGAGACAAGACAUGAAUGCAAACACCUCCUGUAACUAAGGACACACAGGAAGUUAGCACUGUGUCCUUAUGAAACAAAGAAGAGACAAACAAAAUGAAAGUCGACAACUGUUAACAUUUCUCGUGUCACAUAACAUUUGUUCAUAUAUACAUUGAAUAACAUGGGAUAUGGGUAAUAUGUACAGACAACAUACGUGAGUACAUAUACAUCCAUUUGUCAUAACCCUUUUUACAUAAAGGCGAUACCUGCACUGAAACAUAUUACAUAUAGAAAAUUAAUGAAUGAACCGAAAUAACUCUCAUUUUACAAAAGCAAAACUAAUUAGCAUCGUGUCAUGUGUUAAGCAUGUGCAGCUUCAAUAUGGUGACUGAACAGUUAAUACAACAGGAACACGGUUACUAUUAAAACACAAAAAAAUACAUAUGCAUACAUGUAUACACACACACAUAUAUACAUACACAUACAUACAUACAUACAUACAUACAUACAUACAUACAUACAUACAAAUGAACGUAAAUAACUCGGGGAAUAUUUAUAUUUAAUUAAUAUUUAUUUAUUUUUAAAAUUGUGAGUGUCUGUUAUCCAUUACAAAUGCUAUGAACCAUUUCUUAACCCGUUACAUAGGCAACUUACAGAAUGCUGUGAAUAGUAACACUUUACAGCAAUAGAUGUCCGAUCUGCAUG